UACGGAGGGAGCUAGCGUUGUUCGGAAUUACUGGGCGUAAAGCGUGCGCAGGCGGCUUCUCAAGUCAGGGGUGAAAGCCCAGAGCUCAACUCUGGAAUUGCCUUUGAUACUGGCGAGCUUGAGUUCGGGAGAGGUGAGUGGAACUGCGAGUGUAGAGGUGAAAUUCGUAGAUAUUCGCAAGAACACCAGUGGCGAAGGCGGCUCACUGGCCCGAUACUGACGCUGAGGUGCGAAAGCGUGGGGAGCAAACAGG
rnacentral:rRNA from 1 species